UUCAGACAGUCAGAUUAUAGUAGGUAAAAUUAGCAUUUUUUUUCUUUACAAGCAUAGAAUUUUAUUACCUCUUUUAUACCAUCUGAUAUAAACAGUUCUAGAAAGCAAAUAAACUCACUUUCUAUAAUAAAUAGAGCCAUCUGUGCUUUACAGCAGACUGACAAGUCACGUUUAGGUCCCAUAGCAACAGCAGGAUAUUAGCCAAUUCAAAUCCUUAAAAUGUAAUUUUUAAAAAAUGAUAAAAGUAAAAUGCAAGAUCUUAAAACAGUUAUACAUAAGUCACAAGUCCACAGCUGAGCUACAACCUGGGAAAAGUGUAUGUUGCUUUAAAUUAAUUACACUGUGUGCAUACAAAAGACCCAGCAACACAACCGAGGACUUCAAGAAUGGUAACAAUCGGCCUGAAUAAUUUAGAAUAGUAUUUUACAACUAUGUACAGAAGUUCCUUCCACAGCCACACUCUUUAGGCAUUAUCAACUUUUUUUAAAAAAAAUCCUAUUCUUAUUCUUUAUAUGUCACAGAUAUUUUCCAUAAAGUGUGGUUUUAUGUCCCCAAUAUAUAAGAUGUGGUACUUUUAAAAAAGUAGACCACAUAGAAAUGGCAGUGAUUUCCCCCUUAUUAUUAACAUUUUGUUCCACAAUCUCUUUAGUAUGAAGAAAAAUUAAAAUAAUAAAAAAAUACUGAGUUAAAAAGAAAAGAAACAAUUAUAUUUUAAAAUUACAAUCUUGCUUUGCACCUUUGGUUUGUAACGCUUAAAAAGACAUAGAGAAAUCUAGACAAAUCAGAAUUCAAAUGUGAAAUGCUUUGUCAACUUGCAAACUUCAGCUUUCCCUGUUUAUCCAGCGCAUGCAAGUUAAAAGCUAGGAUUCUCGGUGGAGUUGCACACUUGACUUUAACGGAUUCCAGUAAUGAAGGUUCAUAGAGAAAGAAAUAUUUAUGGGGGAAGCUAAGGGUGAAACUGCAAUGUGUUCUGGUGAGCAAGAAAACAGACGCUGUUCCAAAUUCAACCCAAAACAAGAUGGGGGGGGGGGGAAUUUUGAGGGCAAAGGGGAACUGCAGUUUGACACUAAUGCCCUGACCCAAAGCUCCACACAGCAAUAUACACAUGGCACUCUAUGCAAGCAGGUACUGCACCAUUUAAAGGGGGAGAAAUCUCUGCACAUGCCACGAGGUGCACAAUGGCCACAUGGAAACCUGCUUCUGCAUACAGCCAGCCUCCUCUAUAGACAUCCAGCAAUCAUGCGGCUUUAUGGGUCAGGGUGAUGAUGUACAGAAGCGAAUGAGGCAGCUCUUACUCAGACAGAACUUCUGUACGCAGUGCCCCUAAAAUGGAGCUAUGUGUUGGAAGUUUUAAAACCAACAAAGUUCUGUUUUUGUCGUGUCCUAGUAAAUCUUAGUACUUAGUACAGCAUUGCUCCAGUGGAUUAGGUGCUUCCCAAAAGAAGAUUUAAAACACCGUUUUGCCCAGUUUCAAACAUGUUAUUAACCUGAAGUUGAAAUGUAAAAACUACUUCAUAAAUGUAAUCACACAAAACAUUUCACAAGUGAUUUCAUCUUCAUAUUUAAAGCUCUGUGCAUUUAAAUGUGCAUGAGGGAGGAGGAAAACCCACCAAAAUAUUAUCUCUAUCCUUCCUGUCAGUAAGAUCUAACAUAAAAACCUAUAUAAACCUAGGCAUGAGGCUUCUAGACUAGCCUUUAAAUGUAUAAAUGCAGUGGGGCAAACCAGUGCUUUUUAAAAUAACAUGAAAAAGUAUGUUGAAUAUUAAAUUUGGCACACAAGAGUCAUCUAAAGGAUAAAGGAUUAUUUAUAGCAGCGGCAGGCUCCAGAUAAUUCUUCGUUAGCUGAACUCGGGACUAGCUGAAGAAUGAAACACAAGAGACUCGUGAGACUUGCAGUCCAAUCGCCAAAUGAGUUCAGCUUUUCCCUUGCCCUAUAACCAAGGCCACGGCAGGACAGUGCAGCUGCUCCUGACAUCCUCUUCCUAGUCAGACUAUUACAUCACUUCAUUUCCUGCUGGCUCUUCAUUGAGACAGACUCAGAAAGAAUACAGACAGGCUUUAUGGCACAUAUCAGAUAACGUACUUUACAGCUGCUUUCCCUACUACUAGGAAUAGU
rnacentral:lncRNA from 1 species